CCGAACAAUAUGUUAUCUUCAAUAUUGCCACUCUGUAUCCAAGGUGACUGAGCAACAUAGGCCUUUGUACCGCACAACUUCAGGGCACCGGAUAUCUUGGGUACUUCUCCCAAAAUACAAGAAAGUAAGCUUGAUUUCCCAGAGCCAACAGUACCACAAAGUGCAACCCUCAUGCCAUGAAACACUUUCAAAUUAAUGUCUUUCAAUGUUGGAACAUUGGACGAAAUAUCCCAGGCAAAAUUCCCAUCAACUAUCUCAAUUGCUGUUUCAGAACUACCACUGGGAUGCAUCUCUACAACAUCAGACUGCAAGUCAUCAAGACAUAGGAAAGAAGCAAUUCUGUCAAGGGAAACCUUAGUCUGAAUUAUCAUUGAAAUUGUUUCAGGAAGAUUAUUUAUAGCCUGUUGAAGAAUCCGGAAUGUCGCAAGGGCAGAUAAGACCUUCCCUGACUCUAGUGGGAUUCCCAAAAGCACACAAGCACCGAAGGUGGCAGCAGACACAAAAAUGGGGGCACUCCGAAUGACAAAACCAGUCACUGACCCAGUGUAAAGAAACUUUUUUAGCCAUUCAGCCUCAGUCUUUCUGAGAUCAAUAAUCUUCGACAAAAACUUCAUUUCCCAGCCCUGGAGCUUGAGGAUUCUCAUGUUCCUUAAAAUCUCAGAAGUUGCCUUCAUUCUUUUACUUUUUGAUUUCAUCAACUUGUCCUGAAAUUUCACUUGCAAUCUACCCAAAGGAAAGUUCACUAACAUAACUAACACCGUAGCAGAAAAUGUCGCAAUCGAUGCUAGCCCAAGACUUUUAUGCAAGAUCAACAUGGCCAAAGAAACUUGCAAGAGGACCAACCAUGAAUCAUGCAUACGCCAACUGAAGUCACCAACCCUCUGAGCAUCAAUGGUCAUGAAAUUAAUGACUUCCCCACUAGUGUGCCUCUGCUUCGCUUGACAUGAAAGGGUCAAACACUUAUUGUAGACCAUUGCAACAAGCACUGAGCGCAUCUUAAUUCCGGCCACCUGCAGCCGAAAUAUCCACUGUGUGAAGGAGAGGCUCUCCACAAGCUUUGCUGCAAAAAAGGUAGAAACCAUAACAUAUCCCUUAUGUUUGAAUUCCUGCUCACCAUUCAGGUAUUUAACGAACGAAUCAAUUAGAUAUGGACCAACAUAAUUGGCCAAUGUGUAUAUGAGAGCUAGUACUGCUGUAAAGACAAUCUCUUUCCACGCAGUGAAGAACAAUGCCUUCACCAGCUUGAGUGUAGUAACUCUAUUCCCCACAACACUAUCCGCCGCAAGCACAUUCCUAAACUUUGGAAAGCCCUGCAUUACACUAUCACCACUAUCUAAUUGAGGAACGUCCUCACGGUCUAAAAUUUUCUUAUUUCCAACAGCAAUUAGAGAACCCAUCCAAGAGAAAGUGACAAUACUAAACAGACCAGCAUUUGAAUAAGGAGUUACAAUAUUAGCCUUUUCGGACUUGAUUGAUGACACUUCGCCAUUAUUUAUACUAGAAUCAACAUCCAAAAGGGGUUCUUGCAGGAGGAGGGUAUCUUCACCUUCAAUUUUCUUCAAAAACCCCGUAUAACAGAAAAACAAUCCACUAAUAACCGAGACAACAUCAGACACUACAUAAUCAACUGGUAAAGAGACAUGCAUUGUACAAAGAACAAUGUCAAUGACAAGACAAUAACAAGAAAAACACAAAUAAAAUCCCCACCAAAGUCCCAAUAAAAAUGGGAACUUCUGUUCACCAGAAUUAAAGAACUGGGUCUGCAAAUAAACCCAAAUUGCUCCCCAUCCAACUGUCCUGAGCACUAAGUCAGCAAAAGCAACUAGUUUAUCUUCGGACAGUCCAUUUUUAAACCAAAAAGAGUAGUUCAACAGACUCAACACAAGAUUGAACGCUGAAACACCUAAACAACAAAACAGAAUCAGCUUAUACCCCGAACAGUUGUUCCUCACACUCUCUUUGGACCCUUCACAUACACUAACACCAACUUUCAGCUUUUUCCAAACCCAUGAGACAAGCAACCCAACUAUCAAAACUAAGUGCCAAGAACCAGAAAUACCACGAAGGAAAGCUGGUUUAAGAAGAAAAUCAGUAGCUGAAUACAUAACGGAAGAUGAGUUUGCAAAGAUAGUUAGCACUAGUUCCAUUGCAGUAUCAAAAGGUUCCAAGUUUUGAGGAGCUUGUUUUAAAAAAUGAAUGUGCUUUGAAGUGUGGAAGUUAUAUAUGUCAAGUUAAAGGGAACUUGUUCUUGCACACACACAUAUAUAGAUACAUGAAGUCACAAAAUGAGAAAGACAAAGGUACAUUUGUUGGGGAAGAGUUGACGUGGAGACCAAGACUGAAUUGGCAAAAGUUGAAAACAUACAAGGCCGCGGCUAAGUUCCAUGAAUCUGUAACUAACAAACAUGCAUUUUGAUUGGUUGGAUUUAAAGAAUGAAAUUGGACGAUUGGGAUUAAUGGCUAGAGUAGAAAUCAAUUGUGGGCAACUGGUCUUUAACAUUUAGAAGAGUUUAUUUCCGUCUACACCCCCAAAUGUUCUGACAAAUGCCAGUAGCCACGCAUUUGUUUUUGAUGUAUACACACCCAACCUACUACUUUGCUAAUAUUAGAAUUAAAAGACCAUGAUGCCUCUCAAUUAAAUUAAUUUGAUUAGGUAAAAGACCUCUUAUAAAUUUUUAAAAUAAAAAAAUACGAAUAUUUUAAAAUCAAAUAUAAUUUUUUAUUUAGCAAGCAGACCUUAUUCUUUUUUUUAACAAAAGAAUUCUAAAACCAAAUUUAAGUUGUAUACUAACCAACUAGUUUAUUUUAUAUUAAAUCAUUUUUUUCACUAAAAUAUCUCUUAAUAGAAUUACUUAUAGAGACGUGUCAGUAUUAAAAUUACUUCAUAUUUCAACGUCUAUCUAUUUAAUCCAGUGCGAACUUUUUAGUUUGUAUUAAAAUAAUAAACUUGGUUAGAGAAAUCAAAUUCAAAUUUACAGAUAAAAUAGUUUAUUGAGCUUACAUGCAUUGUAUAUCAAAAUAAUUUUUUUAUGGUUUUAAUGAAAAGCUUGUGUGAAAAGAUGGAACUACCUCUUGACUUUUUUUUCGUAGAGUUUAUGUAAAAUUAAAAAAAAAAAAACACUUGUUGAUCCUUUGCAACCUUUGGAAGGGAUGUUUAAGAAUAUGCAAGUUCUUCUUGUCCUUUAGAAAAAGAAUAUUUAGCACAAAUCACAACCAAGAAAACCGAUUUGAUGGUUCAAAAAGGAUUUAAUUGAGGAUGAUUAAUUGAAAUUUAUCUUUGCAUGUUGCAAACAUUCUUCAAUUUAACAAAGUUAAGUCUCUUCAUUAAAUCAAUUCAAGAACAAUUAGAAAAAUAUUAAUGUACAUAAAUUCUAUUAAGGUUUAUUUUUGGAAUUCUCAAAGUUAUAGAUAAUAAAUAAAUAAAUUUUAAAUUUUAGUUAUGAGUUUAUCUAGAAACGGAUUUAGAGAGGAAUCUAAGGGGUUCAAACAGUCCAUCCUUCUUUUAAUUAUUGGGUGCUAGAAAUAUAUGUAGAGUAGUGAUACAAUUACAAACUCUUUUCUACAAACUAUGUUAUAUAAAUUAAUGUGGCAUCACAUGAAAUAUUGAAAGAAGACAUCACUUAGCCUACAUGAUAUAAUCUUUAUUAUUUAAUAUUUUCAUUCAACCAAUCAUAUUAUGUCAUAUAGUAAUUUUCAUAUAAUGUAAUAUUUUUAUUAUUUAACAUUUUCCUUCAACGAAUCAUAUAGUUUGUAUAAGAGUUUGUAAAUAUAACAUUACUCAUAUAGUAAUUGCGUAAAUGGACAUGUUAUUCUCUUGCAAAAUCAAUCUAAUAAAAAAAAUACCAAAGGUUAUAUUUGUCCUUUUAUCAAUAUUUAGCAGAUACAUACAAUUAUCGAUCAAUAAUUAUUGACAGUUUAAGGUAACUAAAAAACUAAUUGUGUGGAGGUGAAGUAAUAGAUUUUUGAAUUAUUAGGAGUUGAAUAAUAGUAGAUUUAUUUGGGUAUAUAGUGAAAUUUUUCCUGAUAUUCACAUAAAGUAAAAUUCAAUUUUUUUCAUUAAUUACACCGUUAAUUUAGCCCAGUUUUAGUCUUUUUCAAGAAUGAAUUUCUAUCUAUUUACGCUAAAUCUUAGAUUUAUUGACAAACAAAUUUAUUUAUUUACUUACGUUGACCUAACAUUUAAUUCAGGGCAAUAAUGUCUCUGUGUUGGUCAACAAUGUUCAGCAGUUGCGCUUAACCACACAGAGCAAGCAUUUUGGGGUGGGUUGAUGAACUUACAUUAAAUUUUGGGGUACUGAUGAUUAAUAACAAUGAUGGAGGUUAUAUGUAAUUAAUCCCUGUAAGUCUUGCUGGUUUUACUUAGGUUUCUUUGUAGUAUUUGUUCUUGGGACGGAGAAGUUUCCAUUCAUGGCAAAAGGGGGCUUUGUCUAGAAUUAAUAAGAGCAGAUGUCACACAUCUGUAUACGUGGCAGUACCUUAUUUGUUACUUGUCAAUUCAAUUUCUGUUAAAAGUACGAUUUCUUAAUUCACAGCGUGACAAAAGAGAGGUCACAUACUGCAGCUUUAGUCAAUGGCAAAUAUUUUCUUUAUUUUUAUUGGUGCGUUUGGUGGUAAGGAAGGAUGUUUCCUUUCCACUUCCGAAUGCUCCCACCAAUGAAUAAAACAAAAUUGGUGACAUACUGAUUGCCCACGUUUGGGUUUCACGUGCGUGAUGAGCAAGGAGUCAAUAGACAUUAUAUUAAUAUUGUCUUUUUCUCUCUCUCUUUUUGUUUUUUUUUGCCCUUUUCUUGGGAGCCAAGCAAGGAAAAACGUUGUGGCCCUACGGUCCCGCCAAUUAAUCCGUGCAUAUAAUUAAAAAAUCAACCCUAUGAGAACUGCUGUUAUAAGAGAAUGUUUUGUCAUUUUUCUUCAAUUCUUGAAUUUAUCAAUAAACAACUUUGACUUUGAUUAUGUUUAUGAUUUUUUUUUUUUUAGUUAUUUCCAACAUUUAAUGUUAAGAGCUAUAAUUUUAAUGAGUUAAAACGAAAUUAGUAAAAAGCUAAAAAUAAAAAAUGACGAAUAAAAUUAUUUUUCUUGUUUUGCAAAAGUAUUUUUUAAUUUUUACAAAAGGAUUAAUUUAAGAUAAGUUUAAUGCAUAUAAUAUAUUAGUUACUAACCAUUCUUAUUCCAAUCCAAUCCGAUGACAAACCAAACACAAUAUAAUAUUAUAUCUAAUCUAAUUUAAUUUUAUCUUAAUCUAUUAUAUCUUAUUCUAUCACAUCUUUUAUAUUAGUGAAAGGUAGCUGGAAAGGAAAGCCAUGCGGCGCGACUCGAAAUUGUUACAGUGUUAUUAUGAAAUAGAAAUAUCUACAGCACUUCCAUGGACUCUGCAAGGGAAAAAGGAAACAAGAUUACAAAAGGAUCGCUCAAAAAGGCCUUGGGCAUUAUUGCAGACUUGGCACAUAGGUCUGACGGCUUUUUCUUCGAACGACUUAGCUUCCGAUGCAAUGCCUGCAAAUCUGUCAGAAUAUAUGGACAAUUUCAUUUGCGGAAAAAAAAAGGAAAAUUCGUAAAAAGAAAAUAUAAAAAGAAAACCCAAUAAAAUCAAGAUUGUCAAGGGAUUUUAGUUUCUUAUAUUUAUGUACUAUUAGAAGAAAAAAUGAGGGAAGAGUUUUUAUGGACUAAGAAUGUUGCAUCCCAAAUAAUAUCAAUAGUUUUUUUUUUUUUUUUUUUUUUUUUUUUUUUUUUUUUUUUUUAAAGUAAGGGGUUGGGUCAAACCCAAAUAAUUUUUAGUUUCUCCUUACUUCCCCCAAGACUCGAACCCAGGAGUCAGCUGCUAUAAGCUUCAUGCUGUUACCAACCCGACCGCACAAUAAUUUACUUUUGAAUCAUUCAUUCAAGGAAAGGCAGCUAUGCAAUCCUCUACUACAAAGAACAGUUACUUCAAAAUUCAGAUUCAUUUACAACUCUUCAACAAUGCAAAAUACACGAAACACCGCAGCCAUCAAUGCACACUAUUCAUUAUUUCUAAAACUGAAAAUCAACAUAUAGAAACUAUUUUUUCACAGGAAACAGAGACACUUUUAUUACCUCAAGCAAAGAAAAAUACACAAUUUUAUUACAAGCACUGCAUUUGAAUCACUUAGCCACGAAAAUUUCACUACCAGUUUGUAGUGUGACAUGGUCGAAGUCUUCCGGAAAAACUCAAUUUUCAUCAUCAUCAAGAAACUAAGCAAAAUUGUGUUUUGCAACGGUAUGGCUUCAAUUUCUGCCCGCUACUCUAAACUGGAGCUGGACCUGGACCUCUGUGUGUACUCUGCAACAAGUUGUGCAAAAGAUGAUGACUUGUUCUCUAGCAACUUUGUUGGAGAAUUGUAUUCCUCGAUAAUCCCUAGACCAAAAUAUUCAAAAAUUAAAAAAAAAAGGCCAAGGAAUUUAUUUGGAACAUAUUAUAGAUUACAUAACAAUCCUAACCAUGACUCAGAAGCAGAACCAUGUCACUAUCAAUAACAGAAGUUAUCCGAUGUGCGAUGGUUAUGACUGUGCAGUCAGAAAAGUGUUGUCGAAGAGUUUGCUGAAUCAGAUUAUCGGUAGCUGUGUCAACAGAUGCUGUAGCUUCAUCAAGCACCAAUACUUUACUUUUCUUGAGUAGAACACGCCCAAGACAAACCAGCUGCCUCUGGCCCAUGCUCCAGUUCUCUCCAUUUUCGGUAACUGCAUCAUCCAUUUGAAUAUAGACAACUAAAUUUCUACCAUAACUAAGUAUAAAAAUUUUACUUGGGAAAAUUCAAGUGAAGAGAAGAAAAGACAGACCUCUUGAAUCUAGCUUUCCUUCUUUGUUUCUAACUUCAUCCCCAAGUUGGCACUUAUCCAAAGCCUAGAAAAGAAAAAUUUAUAGUUAUUUUAGCAAUUAGCAAAUGCAUCCCAAUCUUCAACGAUUGAGUCUAAAAACACAGCACGCUAGAUUUAGGAAUAAACAUGGUUAUCAUAGCUUCUUUCUGAAAUCAAAUUAAUAUGAACCCACCUCCCAAAUUUCCUCAUCUUUGUAUUCUUCAAGAGGGUCCAGAUUGUUACGUACUGUUCCUUCAAACAUGGUUGGAUCCUGAGGAAUGAUGCUCAGUCUUGAUCGCAAAUCAUGCAGUCCAAUUGAUGAGAUAUUGAUGCCAUCUAUCACAAUUUCACCAGCUGUAGGUUCAACAAUCCGGAACAAUGUCUGAAUGAGAGUUGAUUUACCACUGCCAGUUCUCCCUACAAUGCCAGUUUUCAUCCCUCCUGGGAAAGUGCAUGUGAGACCUCGCAACACAAGUGGCAAGUGUGGAGCAUAACGGACCUAUGCCACAACCAUAAUCAUUGAUUAUGAAAGCAUCAUAAAAGGAUAAGAGAUGUAAUCAUAUAGAACAAGCAAAUAUACCUGUAGAUUAAGAAUGUCAACUUCUCCAUGUGUUGGCCAGGAACAGUCAGGCCGACUCUCUUCUAUCACAAGCGGGGGCUCACUGGAAAUACACGUAUACUGAAGUAUUCUCUCAACCGAUAUAAUCUUGUUCUCUAAAUUGCAAAGGUUCCAUAUUACCCAAGCUUGUAACAUAUUUAGGUUGAGUCCAUAUGUGACAGCCAAACCCGCAAUUGCUAGAGGGUAAAAAAACCACAACUUUUAACUCUCUUUCAUUAUUUACUCUCAAUAGCAAUAAGGAAUAGUAAGUGGUUAACCAUGUACCUGGUUCAAUUACUCCCUUUGGGAUAGAGAUUAAUAAAACCAAAGAGAAGGCAAAUGUGAGAGAAGACAACAUAUCCAGGCGGAAGCAAAGCCAUUCCAUUGCACCAGCAAUAUGGAAUUUGGGCCGAGAAUAUCCAUCUACCAGCUUCAUAUUUGUGUCUCGAAACCUUGAUUCUUGAUCAAAGCUCCUGAUAGUUGUUGAACCCGAAAUUGUUUCAGAAAAAUGUUGUAUCACUGGUGCUUUGCAUACUCCAACCAACCGUGAAAGUUCUCGUGCUGAAGGUAUGUAAUAUUGCUGGAUAAUUGUAAAAACAUGAGAAAUCUUCUUUCCAGGAAAAGGAAACUAAAAUCAAGAUAUUGAAUAUUGGAAUGAGUGGAGGACAGAAUAUAAUACAUCAAAUUAACAUUUCCUUGCUAAGUUCGAUGAGAAAACAUAAUUUAUAACCAGAUAAGCAAUCCGCCAAUAGGGGCAAAACAAAGACAGCAAUUCUAAUUCUUGACUGCUAUAUACUUUAAAAUCUUUAUUUAGAUAUGCUAUGAAUACUGCUGCAGUCCUAUGGUAAAAGCUAUUGUUGGAGAGAGAAUUUCAGAAUUCAUUUAUGCUGAUAUCUCAGAGUCAUUCACUGCUUAAGGGCCAUCAUACUUAGUUAUCCAAAAUAUACAACAUUAUAGCAUCACCAAAAGGCUCUUCCAAUGAAAGUUUACUUAUUAUUUGAAGAGCCACAGAAGCAAAAAGUGUUUCAAAAGGCUCUCCAAAUAAGAUUCUUUCAAUGAGAUUAUUCUUCUCUCUCUUCAAUAUGCAACAUUAGAGCAUCACCAAAAAUCUCUUCAAAUGAGAUUUUACUUAUUAUUUGAAGAGUAGCAUAAGCAAAAAGUAUUUAAAAAGGCUUUUCAAAUAAAAGUCUUCAAAUAAGAUUGUCCUUAAAAAGACAAUCUCGUUUGAAGAAUCUCAUUUGGAGACCCUUUUGGAGCCUUCAAUUUAGUAUUCUAUUAUUUUUUAUCUUCUCAUUCUUGAAAGGAGAGAUGUGUUAUAAUUGUUAUUAUUUUGGUGGAAAAAAAUUUGAUCAAAAUAAAAUGAACAUAUUUUUAUUUGAAGAGCCUUUUGGGAGAUGAUUAAUUUUUUCACUCUUCUAUUUACCACAUGGGUAAGCAAAUAAGUAUUUGAAGAGCUAAAUUAGAAGAGUUUUUCAGUGAUGCUCUUAGACUGUGAAAGCAUGUUUAAUAGAAGUCUUAGGUGAUUUGGAUAACAUAAGAAUGGGCCAAUAAAUGUACAUUCUUAAUCAAGAGACCCAUUUCACAUUGAUAGACUUAAAAAAAAAAAAUCUCAUGGCCCAAUUAUUAUCACAGCAUUCUCUACCAUAGAAUUCAGCCUUCGGGGUCAACCAGACGGCUUCUUUGAGGAAGCGGCGCAAAGGAGCUCAAGGGCUUGUUAAGAAAGGCGGCAAGGGCUGACAAAGGGGGGAAAAUAAAAAGUGUUGUCUGGUUCCACCUGAGCAAUGGCUUAAUAAAGGUACAUUCUUAAUCAAGAGAUCAAUCUCACAUUGAUAGACUUAAAAAAACCAUCUUGUAGAGGACAAUAAUCAGCACAAUUUUUAUGAAAUAUGCAGUAAGCUCACUGGCAACGCAAAAAAGUUUAGGUUUUCCAACUACUUGUCAUCUUGACCAAUCAGCAUUUGAUGCACAACCUAGAACAUCUAACGCUUGCAAAAGUUGAAAAUAAAAAUUAGAAAAACGAAGAGAUAAGAGUUGAAAGAUUACCUGAUACCAGAUGCUGACAGCAAUCACAGGGAUGAAAACUAUAAAAACCUGCCAUGCAGCCUGAGACAUCACCGCGAUGAUUCCCAGAAGCUGGAUCAUUGAGAAGGCAAAAGCCCCAACUUGAGAUGCAAUGUUCAAGUCAACGGCACUUUGGUCAGUAGAAGCCUAUGAAAGAAAGCAGAUUAAAUAAGCAAUUACUUUUACUUGCCUUAUUUUGGUUCUCAGAAAAACUAAUCGACAAAAAUGAAGUGCACUAGAUUUGAACAGAUGCUAACUUACCCUGUUUAGAAGUCGUCCACUAGGUGUUGCAUCAAAGAAGGACAUAGGAGCACGGAAUAAACAAAAGUGCAUUUUAUUAAAGAGCAGAGUAGCUGUUUUGAAUCCAGCAGUUGCAAGAAGUGUAGAUCUUGCAAGGAUGCAAAAAGAACUUCCAAGGGCCAAAGCUACAUAGACAAUUAUCAGUGUGGAGCUCCCGACCGCAGGUUUUACAUCCUCUGACACUGGGGUUGCCCAAGCCAUCCAAUAAUUGCUGCCAAUUUGAAGGAUCUGAAAGAGAAUCUGAGCCAACAAUAUAAAGGGCACAAGCGCUCCUCUAUAUGCUGUUGUAAUAUAUUGCCAGUACACUGAGAAACCAACUCUCCCCUUCUCCCUCUCUUCUUCCUGAACAAGCUGCCCUUUUGGUCCUGCUACUUCGUCUACUUUAUCAGUCUGAAUAUCUUCAUUUCCUUCUUUCAUGGUAACCCCAUUAGUAGUAUCCAUACCACCAUUUUCUUUAUUCAUACUUAUCCUUUCAGAAACAGGUCCUCCCUCAAUGGAAUCAAGUGCUGAUAAAGCUUGCUGAUGUGCACCCACAAGAACCAUAAAGUCAGUACCUGAGUUUAGGAUGUCAUUGUACUUUCCAGCUUGCGUAAUCUUUCCAUCUUUCAUAACCUAAAAACAAGGUUUUGUUUAUUGUUAAGGGAUGUAUAAACAAGGGAUAUGCAAUCCAACAGAUAAAGAAAUGCAAUGUAAUUGCUCACCAAGAUAAGGUCCGCAGCAGGCAAGAACUCCACUUGAUGAGUAACAUAAAUCACCGUCUUGGAUCUUAAGAGGCCCAACAAAACUUCCUACCAAACAAAUAUUAUGAAAAAAUAAGUCUCAAAUUCUAAGUUUUCAUUAGGAAGAAGAUGAUAACAACGGAGUGAGUAGUGGUACUUGAAUAAAACCAAAUACAGUUAUCCAAGCAAGAGUCCACCCUCAUGAGUGGCAUACCUCCAGUUCCAAAUAUACCAGGAAAAGAAAAAGCAGGAAGUCCAAAAGUAAAAGCACAAGAGAGAGGAAUAGAUUUCACCUUAAAGAGGUGAGACCCAGUAUGCGCAUCAACAGCACUAAAAGGAUCGUCAAACAGAUAGAUAUCAGCAUCUUGGUAGAGAGCGCGAGCAAUCUGUAUUCUUUGCUUCUGUCCUCCACUUAAAUUAAUUCCCCUCUCGCCGAUAACUGUCUGAUCACCAAAUGACAGGAUUUCCAGAUCCUUUUUCAGGGAACAUGCUUCAAGCACUCUGUCAUACUUUUCUCUGUCCAUCGGCUUACCAAACAAAAUGUUAUCUUCAAUAUUGCCACUCUGUAUCCAAGGUGACUGAGCAACAUAGGCCUUUGUACCGCACAACUUCAGGGUACCAGAUAUCUUGGGUACUUCUCCCAAAAUGCAAGAAAGUAAGCUUGAUUUCCCAGAGCCAACAGUACCACAAACUGCAACCCUCAUGCCGUGAAACACUUUCAAGUUUAUGUCUCUCAAUGUUGGAUUAUUGGAAGAAAUAUCCCAGGCAAAAUUCCCAUCAACUAUCUCAAUAGCUGUUUCAGAGCUACCUCUGGGAUGCUUCUCUACAACAUCAGACUGCAAGUCAUCAAGACAUAGGAAAGAUGCAAUUCUGUCAAGGGAAACCUUGGUCUGAAUUAUCAUUGAAAUUGUGUCAGGAAGAUUAUAUAUAGGCUCUUGAAGAAUCCUGAAUGUUGCAAGAGCAGAUAAGAUCUUCCCUGACUCAAGUGGGAUUCCCAAAAGCAUACAAGCACCAAAGGUGGCAACAGACACAAAAGUGGGGGCACCCCAAAAGACAAAACUGGUCAUCGCCCCAGUGUAAAGAAAUUUUUUCAACCAUCCAGCCUCAAUCUUUCUGAGCUCAAUAAUCUUGGACAAAAACUUCAUUUCCCAGCCCUGAAGCUUGAGGAUUCUCAUGUUCCUUAAAAUCUCGGAAGUGACCUUCAUUCUUUUAUCUUUUGAUCCCAUCAACUUAUCUUGAAAAUUCUCUUGCAGUCUACCCAAAGGAAAGUUCGUUAACAUAAUUAAUACUGUAGCAAAAAGUGCCGCAAUUGAUGCUAGCCCAAGAUUUUUAUACAAGAUCAAAAGGGCUAAGGAAACCUGCAAGAUGACCAACCACGGAUCAUGCAUAUACCAACCGAAGUCACCAACCCUUUCAGCAUCAACGGUCAUGAAAUUAAUGAUUUCCCCACUAGUGUAGCUCUGCUUCGCUUGGCAUGAAAGGGUCAAACCCUUAUUGUAGACCAUUGAAACAAGUACCGAGCGCAUCUUAAUUCCAGCCACCUGCAGCCGAAACAUCCAGUGUCUCUGGGCAAGGCACUCCACAAUCUUUGCUACAAAGAAGGUGGAUACCAGAACAUAUCCCUCAUUUUUGAACUCCCGUUCCCCAUUGAGAUAUUGAACGAAUGUGUCAAUUAGAUAUGGACCAACAUAGUUGGCCAAUGUGUAUAAAAGCGCUAAGAUUGCGGUAAAUACAAUAUCUUUCCAAGCAGAGAAGAACAAUGCCUUCGUCAACUUGAAUGCAGUCACUUUAUUCCCCUCAACCCUAUUGGCCUCAAGCUUAUUCCUAAAAAUUGGAAAGCACCCAACUACACUAUCGCCACUAUCUAGUUGAGGAACAUCCUCAAGGUCCAAAGUUUUCUUAUUCCCAAGGGAAAUCAGAGAACCCAUCCAAGAGAAAGUAAGAAUACUAAACAAACUAGCAUUUGAAUAAGGAGUGACGUUAUCAGUCCCUCUGGACUUGAUUGAUGACACUUCACCAUUACCUAUACUAGAAUCACCAUCCAAAAGGGGUUCUUGAAGAAGAAGGGUAUCUUCACCCUUGUCUUUCUUCAAAUAUCCCACAUAACAGAAAACGAAUCCACUAAUAACAGAGACUACAUCAGAUACUAAAUAAUGAACUGAUAAAGACACAUGCUGUGCGUACAGAACAAUAUCAGUGACAAGACAGUAACAAGAAAGACAUAAAUAAAAACCCCACCAAAGUCUCAAUAAAAGUGGGAAUCUUUGUUGACCUGAAUUAAAGAACUGGGAAUGCAAAUAAACACAAAUUGCUCCCCAACCAAGUGUUCUAAGCACUAAAUCAGCUAAAGUAACUAGUUUAUCACCAGACCAGUCAUUUCCAAACCAAGAAAAGUAAUCUAACAAACUCAAAACAAGGUUGAACACUGAAACAGCUAAACAACAUAACAGAAUCAGCUUAUGCCUCAAAACCGAUUUCUUCUUAAACCUCUCCUUAUACCCUUCACUAUCACUAACCUCAACUCUCAACUUUUUCCAAACCCAGGAGACAAACAACCCAAGUAACAAAACUAAGUGCAAGGAACCAGAAAUCCCGCGAAGGAAAGCUGGUUUAAGAAGAAAUUCAGUACCUGGAUACAUUUUUGGAGGGCUUAUUCAAGUAGUCCAGUGUAUGCACGCGGAGUUAGUGGCACUUGGUUUUGUGUGUGCGGGUGCAUAUAUAUAUAUAUAUAUAUAUAUAAGAAUAGAAGGCAGAAUGAUGAAUGAGAAAGAAUAAAAGGCAAAAUGACAAAUGAGAAAAAACAAAGAUUGAUUUCUUGGGGAAGAGUUAACGUGGAGGGUAAGAAUGGAGAGGCGGAGAGAACAAAGGGCACGUUUCUUGAGCCAAAUACAUAAAAAACAAGGAAAUGAUAGGCAGUAUCUCUGAGAAAACCUGAUCGAAUGGACACAGAAGAUUUCAAUUUACUGAAAUUAUAUUUCUUUAUUUUCACAAGGAUAUUGCUGAUCAAUAAACACCAACAAUAAAUGAGUUUAAUGAUAGUAGUCAAGUCAAUGAGGUCUCCGCCCCACACCCCAAUUCAAUUGGCUCCCCGACUUGAUUGAGCAAUUAUUUAGUCUUUUUUUAAAAAAAAAAUUGAUCAUAUGUGUUUAAAUUCUGGUCGGACUGUAUUCUCUCUCUCUCUAAACACACACACACAUAUAUAUUCAAACUCUUAAUUAUUUUUAAACAGAUUUAAAAAAUCAAUAAUUUUUUUUAAUUGGUUUAAUUUAAGCUUCGUGGAAUCUAGAGCUGGUAAAAUUUGAUACGAUCCGAUUAUCCAACACGAACACGAUACGAAUAAAUAGGUAUGAAUCAUCAAAUUUAACACGAUUAUUAAAUAGGUUGGGUUCGAGUUGACACAAUUUUUUUCUAUAUUGGGUUAGGGUUGAAGUUAUUGAUCCAUUUACCAGAUCAAUGACACAUUAUAUUUUUUAUUUUAAAUUAACUUGUAGGUUCUUAUUAUCAAAACUCAAAUUUUGGACAUGAUUUUCUAUUUUUUUUUAAGGAUUAACAUAUAUACAAUAUUUCAUUUAUAAAAUUUUAUUUAAAUUUAGAACUCUAAUAAUAUAAAUAUGUAAAAUGUUACUAGAUAUGUAUAUUUUAUAAUAUUGAUAUAUAAUAUUAUUUACAUAUAUAUAAAAUUAAAACUUCAAUAGUAUAAAAUGUGUAAUAUUUUAGUGUGUGUGUAUAUAUAUAUAUAAUUUAAAUUUUGUUAAAUUUGUAAAUAUUAAGUAAGUUAUUGGGUAAUCUGUUUAUUCUCAGAUUUAGGUCUCAAAAUUUUAACAAAAUUAUUAAAUGGGUCAUAUUUAGAUCGAUAUAAAUUUGACAUGAUAUGAAACUGACACGACAUAAAUACAAUUCGAUAAUCUAUUUUGUUAAUUCUAAUGAAAUCACCCUUGGGAUAUUGUUUAUCGUUUUUUUUAAUAUAAAUUGGAGCCAUACUAUACUAUAAAAGAAAAAGUAAAGGCAUUAAAAAACUGUUUUUGGAUAAUUACAGUACAAAGUAGGAAGACUUUUUGUUUCCCAAAAUGAGCUUCCCGUCAUUCAUUAAAAAAAUAAAAUAAUAAAAUAAAAAUGAGCUUUUUAUAAAGUGGAAAAGAGGGAACAGAAGCCAGUCAACAUUACGAGGCAAACAACCCCCCAAAGUCCAACUUUUAUGUCUUUAUUAUCUUGCUGAGUUCAGAAAUUCUGAAAUUGUACGUCACAGAAACUGAAGUGACAAGUUGACAAAUAGGACUCGACUAGCUUACAGAAUCUGUAACGUACAGACUGCAGCAUCAGCCGUUGGAUGUGGUUGGAUGUGGAGUGAGAAACUGAACAAUAGAAAAUCGGAUGGUGGGAUGACGGGAGAUGUUUGUUACAGAAACUGUACCAUAGACAGGUCCUGACAAAUAAGGCAUGCCACGUAUUAUCGGGGUGUAAAGAAAAACAACAAAGUUUGGGGUUAAUUUCAUAUAAACCCCCAUUAUUAUUAUUAAUCAUCAGUAUCCCGAACUUUAACGUAAGUUCAUCAAUCCACCGCCAAAUUCUUGUCCGAUACGGUUAAGUUAAACUGCUGACCAUUGUUGACCAACGCAAAGACACUAUUGCCCUUAAUUAAAUAUUAGGUCAAUGUAAGAAAAUAACAAAUUUUAUUUUUCAAGAAAACAAAGAUUUAAUGUAAAUACAUAAAUUUCAAUUAACCAUCUUCCACAAAAUCAUUUUUGAACCAUCAAAUCGGUUUUUUGGGUUGUGAUUUGUGCUAAAUAUUUUUUUUUUAAAUUCGUAUAUUUUAUUGUAAAGAUUUAUAAGAGGUAUUUUACGUAAUCAAAUUAAUUUAAUUGAGAGGCAUCAUGGUCUUUUAAUUCUAAUUGUAGAAAAGCUGGUCGGUUGGCUGUGUAUACAUAAAAAACGAAUGGGUGGGUACUGACAUUUGUCAGAACAUUUGGGGGAGUCGAUGGAAAUGAACCCUCCUUUGUGUUUAAGACCAGUUGCCCACAGUUGAUUUCUGUUCCGGCCGCUAAUCCCAACCGUCCAGUUUCAGUCCUUAAAUCCAACGAAUCAAAAUGCAUGUCUGUUGGUCACAGAUUAAUGGAUUGGUCACACAAAAAUGGAACUUAGCCGCGGCUAUAGUUUGGUUCCCCAUCAACGAAUAAAAACAAAAAAACUGCUGACGUGUCGGUUGCCACGUUUGACUUGAGUAGUUGAGUUCGAUAUGCGUGCGGAGCAAGGAAAAUGAGGAAGCCUUAAUUUAUUGGGCGUUUUCCCGGAAGCCAAACAAGGAAAAUAACUUUUAUGGGAUCCUGAGGAUUUCCAGUUUUCCACUUCAAGAUUUUAUUUGGAAUUUUCCGAGAAAAUUUGUCGCCGUGAUUAGUGAGUGCCUAAGGUCCACAGAGUGAAAGCUUGAGGCACACGCAAAGAGGUUUUUGCAAGUGUUACUGGCAUGAAAUGGACUCAUUUUGAUGUUAAUUAUUCCCCCUAAUACAAUUGAUGCAGUUUUCCGAACACGUGUUUGACCAAUUUGGCGAAAGUGUUACCUCAUUUCCAUCCCAACGUGUUUAACAACCAUUCAUUGACUUCUAGUUUCUAAGAACAAUUCACAUGAGGCAAAUGAAUGGUUGUUAUAAGUCACUAACAGUGAUGAAGUGAUUUUGUCUUUCAAAUAAAUACGUUCACAAGAAAUAUAUAUAUUUUUCUCUUUUCUCUUUUAAAUAAUUAAAUAUAUAGUUAACAGAUAAAAAUAAAAAAUAUAAAUUUUUAUAUAAAUUGACUUAACGUGACACGUUAUAUAAAUCGUCACAUGUCUCUAAUUCUUUUAAGUUUUAUUUCUUUUGCAAAAUAUGCGUGUAGCGUGAUAAUGGUAUGACAUUUCUCAAAAGAAAAAUUCUAAAGAAAGAGAAAGAUGAGAGAAAGUGUGUUGAAAAAAAAAAAAAAGAGAUAGUGGAUUAGGUAGAAAGAGAGUAAAAUUCUCUCAUCUUUAUCUCUCUUGAUCAUUACUCUUUUGAUUUUUGAUCUAAAUGAUUGGUUCAUUUUUUUCCAAAUUUUAUUACUUUCAUGCAUUUGCUGCUUUUACAUUGUUGCUUUUAGUUUUUCUUCUUCUUCCUGUUUUUUUCCCCACCUGUUAUGAUUUAUCUUUAUUUUUUGAGGGGGAAAAAAUAAACAGAAGGCAUUUUGUUUUAUUAUGAUUUAAUCAUUUUGAUUUUUGAUCUAAAUGAUUGAUUCAUUUUUUCCAAACUUUAUACUUUCAUGUAUUUGUUUUUCCAUUGUCCACCUGCUUUUAGUUUUUUGUUCCUUUCCUUUUCCCCACUUGGUAUGAUUUAUCUUUCUUUUUCAAAUGAUAAAAAGAAAAAAGAAAGAAGAUUAAAACAUUUUAUUUCAUUAUGAUUUAAUUUUUUAAAUAUUGAUUCAAUAUAAGGGUUUCAUCACCUCUCAUGUAUUUCAAGUACUAUUAUUCUCUUUUAUAUUGAGCAACCACUUUUGAGUUAUAGUAAGCCAACCCCCUCAAUAUAAACUUACGUAAAUUAGGCUCAUGAAUUUCUUUUUUAAGAAACUUACAAUUACCAAAGACAAUUUCGGGAAUCAAUUUGAAAUUCUAGAAUCUUUUCAUAAUGCAGAUGUGAGAUAUCACGGCCCUAAAUUACCAAAAAAAAAAAAAAAGGGCGAUCGCACGGUCGCACCCAAGUAAAAAUUAUUAUUGAAAUCUGAUUUAAUUAAUUUAAGGUAAUUAAUUAUUAUAAAAUUAGUCCUAAAUAUCUGAAGAGUUUGCAUGACACAUUGGAAUCUUAAUUACAUAUUCGAUUUAUUUAUAACGAACUUUCUUGAGCAACAUUUAUCGGGAAAAAGAAAUAUGGAAAGGAGGAAAUCAGGACUCUUCUUGGAAUGUGCAAUGCUUUUUUCGUUGAAUACAAUAUUUUGUUCAACCGUAGCAUCUAUUUCUACUGCAAAUUUUGGAAUUUCUUGGAAUCCAAGCAAGAUUUAUUGAGCGAUGAGCCCGCGAUUCGCAUUGCCUCCUACGUGACGAAUUCUGAACAGUGAAGUCAUUCAUUAAGAGACAGAGCAGCUAUUGCGGGUGUGGAUUUUGAAAUAUUCAAGAAGAUAAGAGAUAUGAAAUAUUAUUUACGAUUGGCACCUCGAUAAUGAAUAAUUAAUCUUCAUAUAUGAUAAUGAAUGAUAAAUGGCACAUCAUUUCAAUAUAUAUAUAUAUUCCGGCUUCACAUGUAGAGUAUUAUUGAAAAUGUAAAAGGCUAAUCAUUUAUUUUUGAAAGUAAUUUAUUAUUAUUAUUUUUUUAAACAUGAUAAACAAUCCCUUGGAUAUUAGGAUAGAGUGAUGCUAAACUUUUCAACGAAUAUUUUAACUUUUACAAUCUUAAAUAAAGUGACAUUCGUUUAUUGGCCGAAGAGAUUAAGCACUAAAUAGCUCUAAACUUGCAAUACUUUUGCGGAUGUUACCGGAAACUGCAAUACGGUGGAAGGCAAAUCUGUUCCUGUCUUAAGAAUGAACAAGGCAGGAGGGGCAGAGAGCCUCCGAACAAAAAUUUAUUGUCUUGGAUUGUCAGAGCCUCUUUCGGUGACCACUGGUGAAUGAAAUGCUUCUCCUAUUGUAAACAUUUGAUCUGCAGUUGGAAUAUAACGUCAGAGUCAGAAAUCAAGCAGUACACACCAUCUGUAAUGACACAUGCCUAGAAAGCAAUGACAAUAUCAAAGUCAAAACGAGCCUGAAACUCAAGUUUCUUAGUCGUCAAGCAACUUAACUCGGCUCAAUUUCGUUUGUUAAGCUAUGGCCUUCAAUUCCCAGCUAAACUGGAACUGGACCUCUGGGUGUACUCUGCAACAAGUUGUGAAAAAGAGGAUGACUUGUUCUCUAGCAACUUUCUUGGGGAAUCAUAUUCCUCGAUGAGUCCUACAAGAAUAUAUUUUUAAAAUGUUAUUUAUAUUCGAUGAUAAGCAGGCUAUAAAAGGAAUUGGACAUACUGACCAUGACUGAGAAGCAGAACCAUAUCACUGUCAAUAACAGACGUUAUCCGAUGAGCAAUGGUUAUGACUGUGCAGUCAGAGAAGUGCUGCCGGAGACUUUGUUGGAUCAGAUUAUCAGUAGCAGUGUCAACAGAUGCCGUAGCUUCAUCAAGCAUCAAGAUUUUUCUUCUUUUCAGUAGCACACGGCCAAGACAUACCAGCUGUCUCUGGCCCAUGCUCCAGUUCUCUCCAUUCUCAGUAACUGCAGCAUCCACAAGACCAUAUAUAAAGGAAAUUCUGAGUUGCAAGUAAAAUUUGGAAAACUUCACUACAGCUCAUACAAUAGCAUAGGAAAAAACACAGACCUUUUGAAUCUAGUUUCCCUUCCUUCUUCCUAACUUCAUCUCCAAGUUGGCAUUUAUCCAGAGCCUAAACCAUUUCAAGAAAUAUUAGCAUAAUCUAUCUUCCAUCAUCAAUUGCAAGCCUGAAAACACUGCAAAAGCUUAUUCCUACCUCCCAUAUUUGCUCAUCCGUAUAUUCUUCAAGAGGGUCUACAUUGCUUCGCACAGUCCCUUCAAACAUGACAGGAUCCUGGGGAAUAAUGCUUAGUCUUGUCCGCAAAUCAUGUAGUCCAAUCAAUGAGAUAUCGAUGCCAUCUAUAAGAAUCUGACCAGCAGCAGGUUCAACAAUCCGGAACAGUGUUUGAAUGAGAGUUGAUUUACCACUGCCCGUCCUCCCUACAAUACCAGUUUUCUUUUCCCCUGGGAAAGUACACGAGAUACCUCGCAACACAAAGGGCAUGUGUGGUGCAUAGCGAACCUACAUCAUAACAGCAAUCGUUGUUAACUCUAAGGGUAUUUGGGAUUUAGAUCUUGGGCUUUUAUUCCAUAACUGUUUCAGAAUGGAGAACUCAUUAUCAGUGGGUAGAUUUUAAACAUCACUAACAGCCAACUAAAAGUGGGUGUUUACCAAAUACAUUAGUUGGCGUGCUUUGAAAAAUAAGCAAAAGCACAACAGAAACAAAAACAUUCACAAAAGUUGUUAAGCAAGUAAAAUGACCUGAAGAUCACGCAGGUCAAUCUUCCCAUGUGAUGGCCAAGAAUGGUUGGGCCGACUUUCUUCUAUUUCGAGCGGGGGCUCACUAGGAAUACAAGUAUACUGAAAAAUUCUCUCAACUGAUAUAAUCUUGUUCUCCAUUUGGCAAGCAAGCCAUAUUAACAUAGCUUGUAAGUUAUUUAGGGUGAGUCCAUAUGUCACAGCUAGGCCAGCAAUUGCUUCAGAAAAGGAAAUGAGAAAAAAAAAAGCUGUUUCAUGCUCCUUUACUAAUUAUUUUUAGUUGCAAGAAGGAUUAUCAAUGACACCAUAUGUGAACUGCUAACCUGGAUCAAUAAAUCCCUUCGGAAUGGAGAUUAAGAAAACCAAAGAGAAGGCAAAUGUGAUGUUAGACAACAUAUCCAGGCGAAAGCCAAGCCAUUCCAUGGCAGCAGCAACAUGGAAUGUUGGUCGAGAAUAUCCAUCCAUCAGUUCCAUGUUUGUGUCUAUAAACCUUGAUUCUUGAUCAAAGCUCCUGAUAGUGGUUGACCCGGAAACAGUUUCUGCAAAAUGCUGUAUUAAUGGAGCUUUGCAUACUCCAACCAGCCGAGAAAGCUCCCGUGCUGAAGAUAUGUAAUAUUGCUGCAUAAACUUGAAAAAGUAAGAAAACUUCUACCCCAAAAUUGGUCUCUUAUUCAAUGAGAGUGAGACUAAAUGAAGAAAAUAUUUCGAAGAGGGACAGGUGGUUAGUGAGAACACAAUGUAUUGACACUUGCUUCUUUCAAAGUUCUAUAACUUAAAGAAAGGCAGUACAGUGAGGACCAAGAAGAUAUCAAAGCUCGAAGUAACUCCAUUUGACUGUCGACUAACAAAUGUUGGUCUUAAACGUGCAAAAGUUGAUGUAAAAAACAUCAAUUAUUCACAUGGAAAACGAUUAAACCUAUGGAAUAGAAUACAAAAAGGCAUCAAGUGAUAAUAGAUAUUAAAUAUUUAACCAGAAUUUUGAUGUGCCAAUGUCAUAAUGUGGGCACAGCUUAUAAAGAGUUGCCAAGAGCACAAGGAUUACCUGAUACCAGAUGCAGGUAGCAAUCACAGGGAUAAAAACAAUAAAAACCUGCCAUGCAACCAGAGACAUCACACCAAUCACUCCUAGAACCCGAAUGAUUGAGAAUGCAAAGGACCCAAUGAGAGCAGGAAUGCUCAAAUCAACAGCACUUUGGUCGGUAGAUGCCUUGAAGAACAAAAGCAAAUUGGUUAAGCAAAUACUUCUAGGUAUGGUUUUGGUUUUCACAAAACUUUUAAGAGAUUCCAAUGUUGAUUCCCUAAUAAAGUUUAUUAGACAAGAACGUACUCUGUUUAUAAUUCGACCACUGGGGGUUGCAUCAAAGAAGGACAUGGGGGCACGGAAGAUGCAAUAAUGCAUUUUAUUAAAGAGCAGAGUGGCUGUUUUGUAUCCAGCCGUUGCAAGAAGUGUGGAUCUGGCAAGGAUGCAAAAAGAACUUCCAAAAGCCAAAGCUACAAAAACAAUUAAUAGCAUAGAGCCUGUAACUCUAGGUUUUAUGUCCUUUGAAGCUGGAGUUGCCCAAGCAAUCCAAUAAUUGCUGGCAAUUUGAAGGAUUUGAAAGAGCGUCUGUGCCAGCAAUAUGAAGGGCACAAGAACUCCUCCGUAAGCUGCAGUGAUAUAUUUCCAGUACACUGAAAACUCAACUUUACCUUUCUCCCUCUCUUCUUCUUGAACAAGCUGCCUUUGCGGCUCUGCAACUUUAUCUUCUCUAUCAUUCUGAACUUCUUUGUUUUCUACUUCCUUGACAACCCCAUCAGUAGCACUUGUACCAUCAUUUUCUCCAUUGGCAGAUCCUUUUUCAGAAAGAGGCCUCCCCUCAAUGGAAUCAAGCGUUGAUAAAGCUUGCUUAUGUGCAUCCACAAGUUCCAUAAAAUCAGUUCCAGAGUUUAUAACAUCAGUGUACUUUCCAGCUUGUGUAAUCUUUCCAUCUUUAAUUACCUAAAAUAUAAGAUAUAAGGAGAGUUAUGGGUCAAUGAAGUGGGGAAACACAUUCCAACAUAAAAAGAGAUGAUACUUAUAUUGCUCACCAAGACUAGAUCAGCAGCAGGUAAGAACUCCACUUGAUGAGUAACAUAUAAUACAGUCUUUGAAUUCAAAAGGCCCAACAAAACUUCCUGCAAAAUUAUUGUACAAAGGUUACCAAUGGUAUUACAUGGAUGACUUAUUACAACAAUUAAAAACGAAGGACUCAUACUCAUGAAUGACAUAGCAAACUUUAAACAUUCUACAGGGUAAAACUUCCAAGAAAAUUGAUAGCAUUAGAAACAGAAUAGAUUAUACUUUAAAGAGGUGAGAUCCUGUAUGAGCAUCCACAGCACUAAACGGAUCAUCAAACAGAUAGAUAUCAGCAUCUUGGUAAAGAGCACGUGCAAUCUGUAUUCUUUGUUUCUGUCCUCCACUCAAAUUGAUCCCUCUCUCGCCUAUAACUGUCUGAUCACCAAAUGACAGGAUUUCCAAGUCCUUCUUCAGGGAACACGCAUCAAGCACUGCGUUGUACCUUUCCCUGUCCAUCUCCUUUCCAAAUAAAAUGUUAUCUUCAAUCUUGCCACUCUGUAUCCAAGGCGACUGUGCCACAUACGCCUUUGUACCACACAACUUCAGGGUACCAGAUAUCUUGGGUACUUCUCCCAAAAUACAAGAAAGCAAGCUUGAUUUGCCAGAGCCAACAGUACCACAAACUGCAACCCUCAUGCCGUGAAACACUUUCAAGUUUAUGUCUUUCAAUGUUGGAUUAUGUGAAGAAAUAUCCCAUGAAAAAUUCCCAUCAGCUAUCUCAAUUGCUGUUUCAGAACUACCUCUUGGUUGCUUCUCAACAAGAUCAGGCUGCAACUCAUCAAGACAAAAGAAAGAGGCAAUUCUUUGAAGUGAAACCUUUGUCUGAAUUAUCAUUGAAAUUAUGGCAGGCAGCUUAUAAAUUAGUAUUUGAAGAAGCCUGAAUGUUGCAAUUGCAGAUAAUACCUUUCCUGACUCAAGUGGGACUUUCAGAAGUAUACAAGUUCCAAAUGUGAUCACAGACACAAAAGUGGGAGCACACCAAAAGACAAAGGAUGUUAUGGAGGAAGUGUAAAGACAUCUUUUCAGCCAUCCACUCUCACUCUUUCUGAGAUCAAUAGUCUUAGACAGAAACUUCAAUUCCCAUCCCUGAAGCUUAAGAAUCCUCAUGUUUCUUAAAAUCUCCGAAGUUGCCUUCAUUCUUUCAUCUUUUGAUUUCAUCAACUCGUUCUGAAAUUUCUCUUGCACCGUACUCAAAGGAACAUUCACCAGCAUAAAAAUUACCGUUCCAAAAAAUGCUGCAACCGAUGCUAUCCCAAGACUCUUGUACAAGAUUAAAAAGGACAAAGCAACUUCAAAGAGAAAUAACCACGGAUCAUGAAUAUACCAACUUAAUUCAGCAACCCUCUCAGCAUCGACAGUCAUGAAAUUUAUGAUUUCCCCGCUAGUAUUGCCUUGCUUAGCCUGAGAUGAAAGUUUCAGACCUUUAUUGUAGAUCAUUGCAAUAAGAGCUGCCCGCAACCUAAUUCCAAGCUGCUCCAACCGGAAAACAAAGAAUCUCUGGCAGAGGCACUCCACAAGCUUAGCAACGCAAAAAGCAGAAACCAAAGCAUACCCCUCAUUUUCAAAAUCCCGCUUCCCAGAGAGAUAUUGAACUAAAGUAUCAAUGAGAUAAGGGCCAACAUAAGUGGCCAAUGUGCACACAAUGGCCACUAAAGCUGUAAGAAGAACAUCUUUCCAAACGGAGCGGAACAUUGCUUUGAUCAGCUUUAGUGUGGUGAGUCCACUUCCCAAUCCAGCUUCAGUCUCAAGCUUAUUCUUAAAAGUUGCAAAGACCCCAACCACACUAUUACCGCUAUCUAAUUGAGGCACAUCCUCAAGGUCUAAAGUUUUCUUAUUGCCAAGAGCAAUUAGAGAAUUUAUCCAGGUGUAAGUAAGAACACUGAAUAGACCAGCAUUUGAAUAAGGAGUCACAGUAUCAGCUCCUCUGGACUUGAUUGAUGCUACCGUCCCUUCACUUUCACCAGAAUCUACUUUCAAAAGGGGUUCUUGAAGGAUAAGGGUAUCUUCGCCCUCGAUUUUACUCAUAAAACCCACAAAACAUGGAAACAAUCCAGUGAUAACAGAUACAACAUCAGAUACUAGAUACUGAAUUGGUAAGUUUACUUGCUUUUGGUACAGGACAAUGUCAACAAUCAGACAGUAACAAGAAAUAAAAACAUAAAAGCCCCACCAAAUUUUCAACAAUAUCGGGAGCUUUGGUUGCCUUAAAUUAAGAAACACUGUACGCAAAUAAACACAAAUUGCACCCCAACCAAGUGUUCUAACCCCAAAAUCGAAAAGGAUCACAAGUUGAUCAUAAGACCUGCCAUUUCCAUACCAAUAAAAGUAACUCAACAGACACAACACAAGACUAGACAGUGAAACAACAAAGCAACAAACCAAAGUCAGCUUAUACCACAAAGCCUUCUUGUUCUUGAACCUCUCCUUGGACCCUCCACUAUGAUCACCUUCACCAACUUUCAGCUUCUUCCAAACCCACAAUCCAAACAACCCAAGCAACAAAAAUAAGUGCAAAGAACCAGAAGCCCCACGAAGGAAAGCUUGCUUAAGAAGGAAAUCAGUCCCUGAAUACAUUUUUGAAGAUGAAAAAUGAGUGUGCUCUAAGGUUUUAUAGGUAACACAUUUAUGAAGUUAAUGGUACUUUUUUUUUUUUUUUUUUAACGUUAUAUAUGAGAGGAUUGAAGGCACAAAUGAGAGAGAAAGAGAUGGAUUUCCUGGGGAAGAGUUGACGCGGAGACUUGGACUGGAGAGGCCGAGAGAACAGAGGAUAUUAACAUAUGAGCGAGCAAUACUGAUGUUUCCAUGAGCCAAAUACAAAUAAAACAAGAAAACACUGUCAGAAGCUUCAGUUUACCAUAAAUGUGUCUCUACUUUAUUUGUAUGCAUGAGUGUGACGUCGUGUAAAAAAAGGAGCUUCUAAAUUAUAAUAAUUAUAACAUACAUUCAUGUAAAUCACAUAAAUUAUAAAAUAUGUGAUUCACAUAAAAAAUGAGUAAUGAUACAGUUACAAACUCUUGUAUAAACUUAUUUUGUACAAAUUAAUGUGGCAUGAUAAGAUUGGUUAAAUUAAAUAUCACUUGGCCCACAUGAUUUAUUUUUAUUAAUUUAUAUUUUCAUUCAACCAAUGAAUUAAUGCCACGUCAGUUUGUACAAAAUAAAUUUAUACAAGAGUUUAUAAUUGUAUCAUUACUCAUAAAAAAUAUAUAUUACAAUUAUUAUAGCUUAGCAUUUUACCGUAUAAAAUUAUAAGGACACAUUUAAUUGGAUUUGCAUUACAUUUAAGUCCUUAUUUGAUGACAUAUUGACUGUCUCGUUUCAGUAUGACUUUCUAUUGGAAUUUGCGAGGUAAAAUUGUCGUAAGUGAAUGCUAGCUAGCCGUUGGCCACAACCCAAUAAUUGCCAUGAAAUGAGUUCAUUUUAAUCAAUUGAUGAAAUUUUUCCAAAGCCGUGUUUGACCAACUUUGAGAAAGUGGCACCUCAUUUCAUCCCAAUUUUCAUUGGGACUUUUCAAUAGAUUAUUAUAUGUUAUGGUAUUUAUAUAUUUAUGUGUAAUUUUCAUUGGAAUUUUGUCAAAUUAUAUUAAUAUUACAAAAUCUCUAACCAUAUCAAAAUUUCAACAAUAAUUUUAAAAAUGCUAAUUAAAAUGUCCUUCCCUCAUUUUUAUGAUGCUUUAUUCAAAAUUUAAACUAAGUAUGAUUCAUUUUGUUCAAUAUAUUUGAAAAAUCGAUACCCCAUAAAUUUGGUGGAACUAAUUGUGUUAUCUUGAAUGAUUGAUUGUUUCUAACAGUAAUGAAAUAAUUUUGUCUUAGAUCCUAAAACAAAAUAUUCGCAAGAUAAACAAAUAAUUCUGUCUUAAAAUUGCUAUUAGUUGGAUGUAAAAAAUUCUCCAGCCAUUGUUUGAGUGGAUUGCCACUGAUAAAUGUAAAGGAAUAGAGUAAUGCAGACAUUUUGAUCUAAAAGAUUGGUACAAAUUUUCCAAUUUCAUAAUUGACCUAAAUGGGAAGCUGAUGCCUCAAAUCAAUUCUAUAAUCAUUAUCCUUAGACUUUUCUUGCAUUUGAUUUUCCACCGUCCACUUGCUUUAUGUCUCUCCUUUUAUUUAUUUAUUUUCCUUCCAUUUCUAUUUCCUGUCUUUUGUAAAAUUUCUUUCAUUUCUAUUUCCUGUCUUUUCAAAUGAGAAAAAUAUUAAAAUAUUCAUUUCAUUAUGGUUAUAUAUAUACACAAAAUAUUGAAAGCUCAGACCUAUUUAAUCGGGAGGUGCUAGUUUCAGUUGUUGAACAAAAGCUAUAAUUAUAAGGAAAAGUUUAUAUUGAGUGUAUAUUGGUCAUUAUUAUUAUGUAAGACUUUUUAUAAAAAUUUUUUUUAAGAAUAAAUGAAAUUGAAAAUUAAAAAAAAAAUACUGCUCCUACAAUCCGAUUUAAUGGAGUUCUUUUAAGAAACUUAUAACCAAGGCAAAUUUUUCAAAUCAAUUUGAAAUUCUCAAGUCUUUCCGCAUUGCGAAUGUGUGCAUUUUAUAAUAUAUUUGUAUUUUAUUGUUAUGAAGAUCUUAAAUAAAUAUUUGGGUCACAAAAUUAACAAAGCAUAUGUCGAAUAUUAAUAAUAUUAAAAUUAUUUUAUAAAAUAUUGAUAUUAUAUAUAUAUAUAUUUACUUAAUGUUAUAUUUUUAUUUAUUAUAAAAUAUUAAAGUUAAUUUUUUUUAUUAUAAAUAAUAUAAUAAUAAAAAGGCCUCUUACUAUCUUUUAUUGAAAACUUGAGGAGUUCGUAACUAAAUUUUUUUUUUUUUUUUAAAUUUAGGGGUGUAACUAUCGUUUUUGCUGAAAAAUAUGUAUUAGAAACAAAUUGGAGCUCUUUAAUAAAAAUAUUGAAAUCUGCAAUGUUUUCUCAUAGAAGAGUUGUGCAAUAUUUUGUUCGACCAUGAGCAAUUAAUUAGGAUAUAGCUUCUUACCUCUGCGAUAAUACUCCUGCAUGCUCGACGACGUAAUUGUUUUGCAGUGGUUAAAAGACCAUGACCUUUUUCUGUAAUGAUGCUUUGACUUUGUGGGAUAGUCACCACUUUACACUCAAUAGGAAUUUAUACGAGGGCUCUUGGAAUUGGUCCAAAUAUUUGGUUCUCUUAGCUAUGAAUGAUCAUCUCUUGUGACUAUUUUACUUUUUGAUCGAUAAAAGUUUUUAUAAAAGUUUGCUGGGGUAAAUUUUUAUAAUAUAGGCUGAGUGGUUUGAUAUAUAUAUAUAUAUAUAUAUAUACACCUCAAUUUCGGUAUCAUUACCUUGAGACUUUCAUUUUAUAAUUGGUCACGGCUUGCUUUCUUUUCUUUUCUUUUCUUUUUCUCUCUCUCUAUAUAUACAAUUAUCUUUCGUUUUUAAGUGAGAAUAAAUAUUCUCUAGUAAAUGCUUUGAAAUCUAGAAUCGCUCUGUUAUGCAGACAUUUGUAUUUUAUAAAAUUACGAACUUGAAGGAGUUGUUAAUAACUGGUUAAUAACGAUGAGAAUCACAAUAUCCUAAUAAUUUUUUUUUUUUAAAAAAAGUGCUUGAAAUUGCCAAAAUUAAAACUUAACUUCAUGUAAUUCUAAAUCCUAAUGGAGAAACAUGAAGCUAUGAUAAUUAUGAUUACAAAAACAUAUAUGGAUGAUUCUCUAUCUUCGCAUUGGUUGCUACAGGGUCCAAGCAAAAAAUGUCAAUGAGAUUAACCAGACCCGGUUCCUUCAUUCGAAUACAUUCUCUCGAUCAACUUUGACAGUUCUUCUACCUUGUUUGAUCCCAAUGAUUGCAUUCUUUGUGGUACUCAACAGCUCCUAACUUGCAAAAUAUUCGCAGAUGUUUCAGAUAAAUGCCACUUGGUGCAAAGUCAAUCAUUUACGAUGAUACGAUGAGUCAGGUAGGAGGAGGAGAGAGCAUACGAGCAAAAAAUAAUGUCAUGAUUUUUGGAACCUCUUUUAGAAAUCUCUGGACUCUGGGGAAGAAACUAUUUUUGCCAUUAUGAACAUUUGAUUCUGCUGGAGGAAUGCAAUAUCAGAAUCGGAAGUCUAAGUCAAGUAGUACACACAAACUGAAAUAACACAUUCCAUAAAUACAUUAACAAUAAUGUCAAAACGAACCUGUAACUUAAAGUUACUUAGUCAUCAAGUAACUUACCUCACUUAAUUGUGCAAUGGUAUAAGGUAUGGCCUUCAAUUCCCAGCUAAAUUCUCAAAACUGGAACUCGACCUGAGAGUGUACUCUGCAACAAGUUGUGAAAAAGACGAUGAUUUGUUCUCUAGCAAAUUUGCUGGGUUAUCAAACUCCUCGAUAAGCCCUGCAACAAGAGCUCGAAAUGUUACUUACAUCUGAUGAUGAGCAUGCUACAAAAGAAAGCAUAUAUGAAUUAAUUGGACACACUAACCAUGAUUUAGAAGCAGAACCAAAUCACUGUCAAUAACAGAAGUUAUCCGAUGGGCAAUGGUUAGGACUGUGCAGUCAGAAAAGUGCUGCCGAAGAGUUUGCUGGAUCAGAUUAUCAGUAGCAGUGUCAACGGAUGCAGUUGCUUCAUCAAGCAUCAAGAUUUUACUUCGCUUGAGUAGCACACGGCCAAGACAGACCAGUUGCCUCUGGCCCAUACUCCAGUUCUCUCCAUUCUCAGUAACUGCAGCAUUCAAAUGAAAAAAGAUAAUGGAAACUCUAGCCACAAAAAUAUUUGCAAAAAAUCACUACAUAUAACAGACUAGGGAGAAAGACGGACCUUUUGAAUCUAGCUUCCCCUCCUUCUUCCUAACUUCAUCUCCAAGUUGGCAUUUUUCCAGAGCCUAAAACCAUUUAAAGAAAUUUUAGCACAAUCCAACUUACAUCAAUUGCAAGCCUGAAAACACUGCAUAAGCUUCUGCCUACCUCCCAAAUUUGCUCAUCCGUAGACUCUUCAAGAGGGUCUAGAUUGCUUCGAACAGUCCCUUCAAACAUGACAGGAUCCUGGGGAAUAAUGCUUAGUCUUGAUCGCAAAUCAUGUAGUCCAAUUAAUGAGAUAUCAAUGCCAUCGAUCAGAAUCUGACCAGCAGCAGGUUCAACAAUCCGGAACAGUGUUUGAAUGAGAGUUGAUUUACCACUUCCUGUUCUCCCUACAAUGCCAGUUUUCUCCCCUCCGGGGAAAGUGCAUGAGAUACCUUGCAAAACAAGGGGCAUUUGUGGUGCAUAGCGGACCUACAUCACAACCGCGAUAAUUGAUAUGUAAAAAUGAUAAAAGCUAAGGGAGUGUUGGGGAUGAAGAUGCCAUGGCAUUUUACUCCAUAACUGUUGUAGAAUGGAGUUACUCGUGGUCAAAGCUAUAUGCUUUGUGGGUAGUUUGUAUGACCAGUAGAGUGGAUGUUUUCCAAACAGUUUAGUUGAUGUGCAUUGAAACUGAAGCAGAAGUACAACAAGGCCAAACAUACCGAAAACUCAUUAAGCAAGUAAACUUACCUGGAGAUCAAGCAGGUCAAUCUUUCCAUGUGAUGGCCAAGAAUCAUUCGGGCGACUUUCUUCGAUUGCAAGAGGGGGCUCACUAGGAAUACAUGUAUACUGAAAAAUUCUCUCGACUGAUAUAAUCUUAUUCUCCAGAUCGCAAGCAAACCAUAUUAAUGUAGCUAGUAAAGUAUUUAGGGUGAGCCCAUAUGUCACAGCUAAGCCAGCAAUUGCUUCAGAAAAGGAAAAGAAAAAAUAAGCUUGUUUCUUGCUUAACUAUUACUUCAAAUUGCAAGAAGAAUAAUCAAUGAUACCAUAUGUGAACAACUAACCAGGAUCAAUAAAUCCCUUUGGAAUAGAGAUUAAGAAGACCAAAGUGAAGGCGAAUGUGAUGGAAGACAACAUAUCCAAGCGCAAGCCUAGCCAUUCCAUGGCAGCAGCAAUAUGAAAUGUUGGCCGGGAACAUUCAUCCAUCAGUUUCAUAUUUCUGUCUCUAAACCUUGACUCUUGGUCAAAGCUCCUGAUAGUUGUUGACCCUGAAACAGUUUCUGCAAAAUGUUGUAUCACUGGAGCUUUGCAUACUCCAACCAACCGUGAAAGUUCUCGCGCUGAAGAUAUGUAAUAUUGCUGCAUAUACCCGAAAUAGUUAGAAAACUUCUGUUCCAAAAUUGGUACACUAUGUUAUUCAAUGAGUGCAAGACUAAAUGUAGUCACAGUGUAUUAACACAAAAAGCAAUAAAAAAAGGACCAAGAACAUGAUAAAAGUUGGGAGCAACACUAGUUUACAUUCAAUAAGAGAAAAUAUGGUCCUUUAAUUGCAAGUAACAUAAGAUGUCUCAUAAAAAAAUAUAAUAUUAAAAUGGAAAUAAUUAAAACAAUAAAAUAGAAUACAAAAAGCAGCAGGUGGUAUCAAAUAUUUGGCCUAAAAUUUUGAUGUCCCAAGGUUAUGAUGUGCACAUAGCUUAUAAAGAGUUGCAAAGAGCACAAUGAUUACCUGAUACCAGAUGCAGCUACCAACUGCUGGGACAAAAACAAUAAAAACCUGCCAUGCAACCUGAGACAUUACUGCAAGGGUUCCAAGAAUUCGGAUUAUUGAGAAGGCAUAGGCCCCAACAAGGGAAGGAAUGGCCAAAUCAGCAGCACUUUGGUCAGUAGAAGCCUAGAAGGGAAAAGCAAAAUUGAUUAAGCAAACACUUAUUGAUAUUAUCUUGUUUUUUCAAAAAAAAUUAAGAGAUGCCAAUGUUGAUUUACCAAUUGAAGUUCAAUGGCUAAGAACUCACUCUGUUUAUAAUUCGUCCACUUGGGGUUGCAUCAAAGAAUGACAUUGGGGCACGGAAAAUGCAAUAAUGCAUUUCAUUAAAGAGCAGUGUGGCUGUUUUGUACCCAGCUGUUGCAAGAAGUGUGGAUCUAGCAAGGACGCAAAAAGAACUUCCAACAGCCAAAGCUACAUAAACAAUUAAUAGUGUAGAGCCUGUAACUACAGGUUUUACAUCCUUUGUGCCCGGAGUUGCCCAAACAAUCCAAUAAUUGCUGGCAAUUUGAAGGAUCUGAAAAAGCGUCUGUGCUAGCAAUAUGAAGGGCACAAGAGCUCCUCCAAAUGCUGUGGUGAUAUAUUUCCAGUAUACUGAAAACCCAACUUUACCUUUCUCUCUCUCUUCUUCUUGUACAAGCUGACCUUUUGACACUGCUACUUCAUCAGCUUUAUCAUUCUGCCCUUUGUUAUUUUCUACUUCCUUUACAAUCCUAUUAGCAAUAACUGUACCGCCAUUCUCUCCACUUGCUCUUUCAGAAGCAGGCCUUCCCUCAGUGGAACCAAGUGCCAAUAAAGCUUGCUUAUGUGCACCCACAAGUUCCAUGAAAUCAGUUCCUGAGUUUAUUAGAUCGUUAUACUUUCCAGCUUGUGUGAUCUUUCCAUCUUUCAUUACCUAAACAUAAGGUAUGAGGACAGUUAUGGGAUAUUACAGGAAAUGCACGCCAAUAGGAAAAGAAAUCAUAUUUAAUAUUUCUUACCAAGAUCAGAUCGGCAGCAGGUAAGAAUUCCACUUGAUGAGUAACAUAUAAUACAGUUUUAGAACUCAAAAGGCCCAACAAAACUUCCUGAAAAAAUAUUACACAAAAGGUAAGUGAGGUGCCAUUAAAACUAAGGACUUAUGAAGAGCAUGGCAGACUAUACUACGAAGAGAAACUUUCACAAUUGUUAAUAUUAUUGGAUUCAGAAUAGAUUUACCUGAAAGAGGUGAGAUCCUGUAUGAGCAUCCACAGCACUAAAAGGAUCAUCAAACAGAUAGAUAUCAGAAUCUUGAUAAAGAGCACGUGCAAUUUGUAUUCUUUGUUUCUGUCCUCCACUCAAGUUGAUUCCUCUCUCUCCUAUAACUGUCUGAUCACCAAAUGACAGGAUUUCCAAGUCCUUCUUCAGGGAACACGCAUCAAGCACUGCGUUGUACCUUUCCCUGUCCAUCUCCUUUCCAAAUAAAAUGUUAUCUUCAAUCUUGCCACUCUGUAUCCAAGGUGACUGUGCCACAUACGCCUUUGUACCACACAACUUCAGGGUACCAGAUAUCUUGGGUACUUCUCCCAAAAUACAAGAAAGCAAGCUUGAUUUGCCAGAGCCAACAGUACCACAAACUGCAACCCUCAUGCCGUGAAACACUUUCAAGUUUAUAUCUUUCAACGUUGGAUUAUGUGAAGAAAUAUCCCAGGAAAAAUUCCCAUCA
rnacentral:lncRNA from 1 species